AAAUUGAAGAGUUUGAUCAUGGCUCAGAUUGAACGCUGGCGGCAGGCCUAACACAUGCAAGUCGAACGGUAACAGGAAGAAGCUUGCUUCUUUGCUGACGAGUGGCGGACGGGUGAGUAAUGUCUGGGAAACUGCCUGAUGGAGGGGGAUAACUACUGGAAACGGUAGCUAAUACCGCAUAACGUCGCAAGACCAAAGAGGGGGACCUUCGGGCCUCUUGCCAUCGGAUGUGCCCAGAUGGGAUUAGCUAGUAGGUGGGGUAACGGCUCACCUAGGCGACGAUCCCUAGCUGGUCUGAGAGGAUGACCAGCCACACUGGAACUGAGACACGGUCCAGACUCCUACGGGAGGCAGCAGUGGGGAAUAUUGCACAAUGGGCGCAAGCCUGAUGCAGCCAUGCCGCGUGUAUGAAGAAGGCCUUCGGGUUGUAAAGUACUUUCAGCGGGGAG
rnacentral:rRNA from 1 species